rnacentral:tRNA from 1 species
GCGGAGUUAGUCCAACGGAGGACGCCAGGCCACCCGCCUGGAGACGCAGGUUCAAACCCUGCACUUCGCUCCA